UGGACAAAUUAUUGUAUUCGACUGUAUUCACGGCAUGAAACAGGGGAUUACACUAUUUUUAAACAGAAAGUGAAUCAAUUAACAUAAUAGACUCCU
rnacentral:pre_miRNA from 1 species